GAGCUCCAUGGUAGAGCAUCUGCUUUGUGUGCAGAAGGUCCUGGGUUCAAUCCCCAGCAUCUCCA